GAUGCGUCCUUGUCGAGUCGGGUUGCUUGGGAUUGCAGCUUGAAGUGGGUGGUAAAUUCCAUCUAAAGCUAAAUACUGGCGAGAGACCGAUAGCGAACAAGUACCGUGAGGGAAAGAUGCAAAGAACUUUGAAAAGAGAGUCAAAGAGUGCUUGAAAUCGGUAGGAGGAAACCCGGAUGGGCCCGGCUUCGGCGUCGCGACUCAGCCCCCUGCUCGGGGGGGUGCACUUUGCGUCGCCGGGUCAGCCGCCGCUCCGGCCGCGGUACAACGGGGGAGCAGGGCUCCGGCGAGCUCCCCUCCUGCCGCGCCCGGGGCGCCGUCUGACGGAACGGGCCCCUCCGACCCGUCUAGAAACACGGACCAAGGAGUCUGACACGUGUGCGAGUACCCGGGUGGCAAGCCCGCGUGCGGAAUGAAAGUGAAGGGCAUGCCCUGCCAACCGACCUUGACCUUCUGUGAAGGGUUUGAGUGGAGCACACCUGUCGGGACCCGAAAGAUGGUGAACUAUGC
rnacentral:rRNA from 1 species